rnacentral:rRNA from 1 species
GACGAACGCUGGCGGCGGGCCUAAUACAUGCAAGUCGAGCGAAGCGGCGGAUGGGUGAGUCACGCGUGGGUAACCUGCCCUUUAGCCUGGGAUACGAUUUGGUAACAGCUGCUAAUACAGGAUACUAAAGGAUGUUCUUGGGAUGCAUUAGCUAGUUGGGAAGGUAACGGCUUACCAAGCCGAUGAUGCAAAGCCUAGUGGUGAGGAGGAGCGGCCACAUUAGAACGGAGACACGGCCCAAACUCCUACCGGAGGCAGCGGUGGGGUAUCGUCCACAAGGGACGAAAGUCUAAUAUGGCAAAGCCGCGUAGGGUAAGGAGGUUUGCGGAUAGUAAUGGUCUGCUGUUGGUGAAUCUGUAUUCAACCAGAAAGGCACGGCUAACUACGUGCCAGCCGCCGCGGUAAUUC